rnacentral:lncRNA from 1 species
UUAGAACAAGAGAAACAAAAGAAAAAUGUUCACCAUUGAGAAAAUCCUCGGAGAUUAGCACCCCGAACUUUAGCUUUCCUUCAAAAAUAAGGGUGGGGAAUCUUAAGCUCCACAAUUUUGUGCCGCCAAUAGUUGAUGCCUUCAUAAGCUGCAAGGACCAAUCUAUAGCAGCACAUGUAGCUCCACUAUUGCAGCUUGAAUGUCCACAUCAGUAUUCUGGUAAAAUCAGAACAUGUUCAGUAUUUUGGUAAAAAAAAUGCAGACCACAAUUGUCUGUCAUAUGGUGCCUUGCCACUGGGCAUACCGCUACCAUCUCCCGCAGCAGCUCCAGUGGCG